CUGUGCCGCUCGCCCCGCCCACCGCGCGCCGAGCCCUGCGGGGCGCCCCGGGGGGGGAUCGUGGACCGGAACCGAGGCUGGAUGGCUGGUCUGCCCCUUUGUCCGGCUCCAGGCGGUUCCCGACACGCGGGCUGAGCGUGGAUCCGGGCAGGCACGUGUGACCGCCGCCUUCCCCUGCCUGGGCAAGCCGAACAGGGGAGAACCGGGAGCUGCGGGAAGCCAAGUCUCGAGGGGUGCGAGGGGCCUGGGCAGGGGCGAGGAAGAUGGCGAAGGUGAAAGGCGCUCCUGCCGGGCCUUGGAAGCUGAGGACGGGAGGAUUCUUCACGUGAAGGGGCAGAGUAAAUGAAGAUUUUUAUUUCUUUGCCAGCCCAGCCUUGAAGCCUCGCUCGUUCCAGCCUUGAUGCUAAAAAACUCACCUUGCUUUCCCGGCUUGCAGAGAUCUGUACCUCACCUCUAUGCCGAGACGCAGCACUGAACUGACCCUCGGCUGUUGGGAGGCCGAGGCUAUCCCCUGAUCUGUAAUUGCCAAGAAUGUGGAUGAAUUACAGUGCAGACUGCAAGCCUGAAGUAGGGAUUGUGGGAACAAGAAACAGUACGUGAGGGAGGAAAACAAGCCAAGAGUUGCUUUUUUUAUUUUUGUUUUUCUUUCCCCCAGACCCAAAACUACUAGAAACAAAAUUUUGAAUGGAACCAUUUGGUCUCUGAUUUCUGCUUCUGCUCUUGCCCCUCAUGGCCCUCACUCUUAGUAGCACCUGUGUAUGCCCAAGCAAGGGACAGACUCAGGGGCCUUGAAGGGAAGAGGGAUUUGAUGACCAGUUCUUCUAGCAUGUACAAGGCUGUGGGUUCUUUCCCAGCAUUGCAAACAAAUAAAUCAAAUGACAUAAUGUU